GACGAACGUUGGCGGCGUGCUUAACACAUGCAAGUCGAACGGAAAGGCCCUGCUUUUGUGGGGUGCUCGAGUGGCGAACGGGUGAGUAACACGUGAGUAACCUGCCCUUGACUUUGGGAUAACUUCAGGAAACUGGGGCUAAUACCGGAUAGGAGCUCCUGCUGCAUGGUGGGGGUUGGAAAGUUUCGGCGGUUGGGGAUGGACUCGCGGCUUAUCAGCUUGUUGGUGGGGUAGUGGCUUACCAAGGCUUUGACGGGUAGCCGGCCUGAGAGGGUGACCGGCCACAUUGGGACUGAGAUACGGCCCAGACUCCUACGGGAGGCAGCAGUGGGGAAUAUUGCACAAUGGGCGGAAGCCUGAUGCAGCAACGCCGCGUGCGGGAUGACGGCCUUCGGGUUGUAAACCGCUUUCGCCUGUGACGAAGCGUGAGUGACGGUAAUGGGUAAAGAAGCACCGGCUAACUACGUGCCAGCAGCCGCGGUGAUACGUAGGGUGCGAGCGUUGUCCGGAUUUAUUGGGCGUAAAGGGCUCGUAGGUGGUUGAUCGCGUCGGAAGUGUAAUCUUGGGGCUUAACCCUGAGCGUGCUUUCGAUACGGGUUGACUUGAGGAAGGUAGGGGAGAAUGGAAUUCCUGGUGGAGCGGUGGAAUGCGCAGAUAUCAGGAGGAACACCAGUGGCGAAGGCGGUUCUCUGGGCCUUUCCUGACGCUGAGGAGCGAAAGCGUGGGGAGCGAACAGGCUUAGAUACCCUGGUAGUCCACGCUGUAAACGGUGGGUACUAGGUGUGGGGUCCAUUCCACGGGUUCCGUGCCGUAGCUAACGCUUUAAGUACCCCGCCUGGGGAGUACGGCCGCAAGGCUAAAACUCAAAGGAAUUGACGGGGCCCCGCACAAGCGGCGGAGCAUGCGGAUUAAUUCGAUGCAACGCGUAGAACCUUACCUGGGUUUGACAUGGAUCGGGAGUGCUCAGAGAUGGGUGUGCCUCUUUUGGGGUCGGUUCACAGGUGGUGCAUGCCUGUCGUCAGCUCGUGUCGUGAGAUGUUGGGUUAAGUCCCGCAACGAGCGCAACCCUUGUUCACUGUUGCCAGCACGUUAUGGUGGGGACUCAGUGGAGACCGCCGGGGUCAACUCGGAGGAAGGUGGGGAUGACGUCAAGUCAUCAUGCCCCUUAUGUCCAGGGCUUCACGCAUGCUACAAUGGCUGGUACAGAGAGUGGCGAGCCUGUGAGGGUGAGCGAAUCUCGGAAAGCCGGUCUCAGUUCGGAUUGGGGUCUGCAACUCGACCUCAUGAAGUCGGAGUCGCUAGUAAUCGCAGAUCAGCAACGCUGCGGUGAAUACGUUCCUGGGGCU
rnacentral:rRNA from 1 species